UUUCUUUAGCAGCACACAUACUAAAAUUGGAACGGCGUAGAGAAGAUUAGCACUGUCUUGUGCAACGAUGAUACACAAAUUCGUGAAGUGCUCCAUUCUAUU